rnacentral:rRNA from 1 species
AGAGUUUGAUCCUGGCUCAGAACGAACGCUGGCGGCGCGCCUAACACAUGCAAGUCGAACGGGGUGCAUGGAGUUGAUCACUUCGGUGUGAAGCACUUUGUUACCUAGUGGCGAACGGGUGAGUAACACGUAGGUAACCUGCCCUUAGGAUGGGGAUACUCCCGAGAAAUCGGGCCCAAUACCGAAUAUGACUCCGGGGUGAAAUGCCCUGGGGUAAAAGCUGCGAGCAAUCGUGGCGCCUGAGGAGGGAUCUGCGGCCUAUCAGCUUGUUGGUGAGGUAACGGCUCACCAAGGCUAAGACGGGUAGCCGGACUGAGAGGUCGAUCGGCCACACUGGAACUGAGACACGGUCCAGACUCCUACGGGAGGCAGCAGUGGGGAAUUUUGCGCAAUGGGCGAAAGCCUGACGCAGCGACGCCGCGUGGGGGAAGAAGGCCUUCGGGUUGUAAACUCCUUUAGUACGGGAAGAAGCCUUCGGGUGACGGUACCGUAAGAAUAAGCCACGGCUAACUCUGUGCCAGCAGCCGCGGUAAGACAGAGGUGGCAAGCGUUGUUCGGAUUUACUGGGCGUAAAGGGCGUGUAGGCGGUUUUGCAAGUCAGAGGUGAAAUGUCUCGGCUCAACCGAGGACCUGCCUUUGAAACUGCAGAACUUGAGGUCGUGAGAGGAGACUGGAAUUCCUAGUGUAGCGGUGAAAUGCAUAGAUAUUAGGAGGAACACCAGUGGCGAAGGCGAGUCUCUGGCACGAUUCUGACG